GUCAGGAUGGCUGAGCAGCCUAAGGUGCUGGGUUCAGAUUGCAGUCUCCCCUAGAGGCACAGGUUCAAAUCCCAUUUCUGACA
rnacentral:tRNA from 1 species